AGGGUAAAUAGUACUGUAAACACACAAGCUGCAAGGCUACAACCAACAUAUGAAAAGUCAUAACAACACCAUUGAAACACCCACUAACACAGUAAAGUCAGGUGUAAGUGUGUUAAAUGGUCAACAGUUGUCAGUUAAGACCAUGAUGAAGAAACUACACCACUACAGAGUUACAUGAAGUACCUUCAUGUUACAGUAUGCUUAAAUAUACUUGUGAUACAAUUCUAAUGUUACCAGGACAGGUUGGAUAACUACUGGACUAACCUAAAGCUUUCUCCUUCUGUGUGCAGUCUUGGCAACACCAUCAUCGGCAGCUGUGUCUGAUCGCCCUUCAUGUUGAAUAUACUUGUGUACAGUAUAUAGUAAUGUUUGAAUAAAUGUUAUAAUAAAGA